AUCUGACGAGGUAUUGGUAACAAUACGGGAUAUCGGAACCAUUAUUUCGUCUCUGAUUCCGGCGAGGUUUUAAUAUUUAGUCUGUCCAACGAGAUCACGUUUUCUGAGUUAAAUUGGACAACUUUUCACGAAAGAAGUACACGUUACUAUCAGAUAUAAGGAGAAAGCCAGGAUGUGCAGACGUGCAGUUGUUUUAGAACAAUACCAAUCAAAACCUACUGAGAAUUUAAAGAAACACUUGUGCUGCGACAUCUGCGCUAUUAAAUUUAUAUCAUUCAAACAGCUUGAGGACCAUAGAAAUGUUGCCAAAACCUGUUAUAAGGGGGCAUGGCCCUUCAUUCGAAAAAACUUUAAAGCCCUUCACCGAAGGAUGCUUUUGUCAAGUUUGGUUGAAAUUGGUCCAGUGGUUCUGGAGAAGAAGUCGAAAAUGUAAAAAGUUUACAGACAACGCACAACAGGCGAUCAGAAAAGUUCAGGUAAGCUAAAAACUGAGCCUUUAGUGAAUGCAUCUUUAAAUAAAGAUUCACACGUAAUAAUGACAACAGUGUUUUUCAACUAAAAUGUUAUGGAACCACUACAUGUAUUAUAUUUCAGGAAGUCAAUUUGAAAACUUUCUGCAUUCAAAUUUACAACAUUAUACUAGUAAUUUUCUUUUGCAAGUUAAUCCAUUCAUACAGAGCAGAGGGGUUUAUUGAACAAAUGGGAUCUUUAAAUUUAGUCAAACUUUCCCAGUUCAAUUUGGUAAUUUGGUCACUGUCUAACAGACAUUUCACAAUUGUUUUUAUAUCAUCUGUUUUGUCGACGAUAGGACGUUUUCUUGACUGUUUAGCUAUUUUGUUGGCUUUCAUAACAUCACACUUUAUAUGAUCAACAACUUGUGUUCUGAGAGCAACUACCCUAGCUGAAUUAAACGACUUGUUGGCACCUUGAGUAUUCAGUUAUUUCUUGAUUACGUGUAUAUCCAAUUUGUAACUCCACGCAGUUAUUAUUUGGGAUAUUCUGAUCAAAUCCUCCCAUCACGUUUUGACACACGUUCCAUUUAUACUCAAAACUGUCUCUUAGAUUUAGGGUAGCUGUGAUAUAGGAAAUGUUUCUCCAAAGCCAUAUUUUGUGUUUUGUGUGUUCAACAGCACCAGAAUACAGCCACUCAAACUGCAUGACGGAAACACCUUUCACCAUCAGUCAUUCUGAAAAUGUAUGUUAGAUAAGCAUUCUGUUUAAUAUGAAUAAGAAAGGCAUGUAAUAACUUGAACAAGUGUCCCACGGUCCUUAUUGGUCACCUGAGUACUAGUUUAAAGCAUCACUAGUCCAAAGGGCUAAAAAUCUAGAAAAAAAAUCCUGUUCUGAAUAUCGAAGCUGAAUUCUAAUAUUCAGCAACAGCAUAAAAUAUGAUGUAUUCUUAAAUCUUCAAUGCCCUCAAAAGUGCUUAUACUGAUUAAAGGCUUUACAUAAUAUAUGUAUCAUCAUCAAACGAUAUCCCUAAUUUGGACCCACCCUAAAGUCAAAAUCCUGGGGUUGCUGUAUCAGUAAACUUAAAGAAGUCCUGCAAGUGAUAAAGACAAUAAUCACUUUAAUAAUUUUGGCUCCACUCUCAAACUAAAUCCUUACCCCUGAGGAUCAUGAAAUUUAUAAUUUUGAUGAAGGACUACCUACUCCUUUUAAACAUCCAUUUAGUUUGGCCCCGUCCUGGAGUCUGAACCUUUACCACUGGGAUCUUGAAAUUUUCAAUAUCGGUAGAAGCUUUAUAUCAUUAUGCAUUUAGUUCUUCUUAAAGAUAUGCAGUUAGAGAGAAGACGUUUGAAAAUUGGUCAAUUUUUGGCACUUUUUGCUCCGCUUCUAUGGUCCCAGGAGUUCUGGAAUCUACAAAGUAUGUCCCCCUUGUUCCAAAACUGCUUCAUACCAAAUUUGAAAAGAAUUGGAAUGGUAGUUAUUUAGAAGUUAAAAAUGUUCAAUUGUUUACGCACGACGACGGACGCAGACCAAUUGCAAUAGGACACCGGAAUGACAUAGGUGACCUAAUAAUUAGCUGUCUAUAAAUUUCAAUAAAUAAACUAGAAAUGUAUCCCUAGGACACGGAUGUCCUCACUAAUUGACGCUGGACACAGAUAUGAAUGUUGUGCGGUAGAUAUUUUGUGAAUCAUGCAUGACAAAAUUAAGAGUCUGACACAAACUCUAAGUGUCCACUGUGACCUUGACUUUUGAGCGAGUGAGACAGUUUUUGCAAGCGACAUUUCGUCUUCAUAUUGUUACGAUAUUUGGUUAUAUAUUUAAACUGUUGCAUCAGCUGUUUUGUUUUUGUGUAUCUGUGACGUCACUUGGAAAGCUUCGUGUGUGAUCGGAUGACGGGACGGGUGGAGCGUGUGAUCGUCUGCAAGGAGUGGUGUUGUGGCUGGAGAAGAAGAUGGCAGUAAUCUCGGUAAAAUGGAAGCACUUCGUAAUCCGCCGGUCCGUGGAAGUGCCUGGCCCAAUCAUCUAGCUAGGAUCGCGCAUCUGAUCUGUAAUCCGUAUGUUUAACGUGUGUGCGAGGAUUCCUGAACUGAUUCACGGAGACGAUGAUCAUUAUAAACAAGUUGAGUAGAACUUUAGAUCUGUUUUGUGUACUUCUGUAUCAUUGUAUGUUUAUAUAUUUGUGACUAAUUAUGUAGAAUGAAAAUUUGUAAAAGUUUC